AAUUUUUCAUCUCGCUCAAGCUCAUUGGCUUUAUUUCGGAAACUUUGACAAGUCGAUGCGAGUUCGGUCGGUUCGGUCGUGGAACAAACAAAACGAGAAAAUUGGGAAAUUAUAAAUGGUUCUUCCGUCGUGAUAGCUUCAAGUUUAUUGCGUGCUAAUAACACCGAUCGUCGUUGCUUUUAUCCUGAGCUUGGCAUCAAUACAAGCCUUUAAAAAGACCAGCACCACUGGAUACCCGCGUAAAAAGAUUGGUCCGGAGUGUAUGUUCGGAAAUAUACAACAUCCUGGGCACCGACUAUUGCUAUAGUCUGAUCCUGCCUUGUUACAGUUCGUAAUGAGAAGAUCUUCGCUAAUAAGUUCGAGCUCAAGAACGGCGUUGCUUUAAGGAUGACAUUGAAGGCGGAACUGGGCACUUUCACACGUCAGGUUAAAGUUGGUGGUGCUUUCUUUCGGGAAGGACAGUUCACUCAGCGAGAUGGAAGUUGCUCAGAUUUGCAGGAGUCGGAAAAGUGGAUUGAAAACGAGAUCGACAUGUACCCAAGCAUGCACCAGACGUUUCCGGGAUCUGCUUCGUGGAAGAACAAUAUUCUGUUCCUAUAGGUCAUUCCAGCUGGCUGCUUCUGCUUAAAAAAGGAUUAUGUCUCGUUCACUGCUAUGAUUCCACUGGAUUCCAUUGAUUGAUCUGCUCGAUUUUAUUGGAUUAUACGAUAGCUUUGAAUAGAUUGGUCUGAUUGGUUGAAUUGCUUGUGUUGAAUGAGUUGAAUGUGUUAGUUUGGAAAAUUAGACUGCUUCGACCAAAUUAAAUUAUUGGAUUAUUUUGCUUGA